AAAACAUUAGCAUUUUAAGUACCUUCUCUUUAUUCUCGGACUAAAAUGAUUUUAGGCCUAUAAACCAUAUCUCGUCAGCCGUCUAUCAAGGUAAAAAAGGUGAGUGCUAUCAAUUGAUCAUUGCUUAUGCACAAUCUAACUUCAACUCUUGGAAAAAGUCAUUUUGUUCUUUUUCUUAUUUUUCUCACAUAGGAAUGUUUAUUGAUAGGUUUCUCCUUUAUCUAAAGAGUUCAAAGUUACUCAAGCAACAACACAAAGAAGCAAUACCUCUGUUCGGCCAGGCAUGAUUGGCUUUCCAGCAAGAAGUUCUGCUAAAAUGCAGCCAGCACUCCAAAGGUCGACACCAGUGCCAUAGGAUGUAGCCCCCAGAAGAAGCUCGGGGGGACGGUACCACAGGGUCACAACUCUACUGGUCAUAGGGUGUUUUUGCUUAGGAUCAUAGAAAGUUGCCAAACCAAAAUCUGCAAUUUUAAGUAUUCCUUGGUUGUCAAUGAGCAGAUUGGAACCCUUGAUAUCACGGUGCAAAACACCUCUGCUAUGGCAAUGCUCAAGCCCAGAUAGCAAUUGCUUCAUAUAACAUUUGAUCUGUCACAUAGAACAUACUGAGAAACAAUCAGCCUAUCAGUACAAUUUUUCCUUGCAUUUUUAAAUGUGAAAGAUUAGUCCCCCCUUCUAUUCUUACUAAUGCUUGAAAAGGUACUACUGUUUCACAUAAUUUCACCAUGAAACCAAGCAAUAAAACUGUAUCAUUU
rnacentral:lncRNA from 1 species